AAUGAUUGCAACAAAUCAUUAUUAGCAAGAACAAAACCAAG
rnacentral:misc_RNA from 1 species